UAUGGCAGAUUAAGUGCAAUGGACUUAAAAUCCUCUUAUAAAGAUUUAUUCUUUUAUUAAAA
rnacentral:tRNA from 1 species